rnacentral:lncRNA from 1 species
CAGGGACCCCACUUUGAGAACUGCUGACUAGAAAACAUGUCACCACUUUUAGGGGUCUGUCCCCUCAGCUGUCACCCUCCUCUCUCCGAUUGCCAGGGCCAUGCCGUGGGAGCCGGGGUCCCAGUUCUGUGUGAGCAACUGUUGGGUUGAGCUUUAUUGCUCUUAUCCAUCCUGAUUUAUCAGACCCUUUCGAAAAGGAAGUUCGUGGGUGCCAACGCACCUGUGUGGGCCCUGCAUUCCAGGAGCUGUUGUCACGUCCUCUCUCCCCUCCCCCGGGUGUGGCAUCUCUCUUUACUUGGACUUUCCUUUCUAGAAGGGAGGGCCAGGCCAGAGCUUCCUGGAUCUCCUAAGUGGAAUUUGCUCUGAGGCCUGCGUCACAAGUGCGCCUGGGUUGUGUAAGGCAGGAAUGUGGAAAAUAGUUAGAAUUUGAUAAAAGCAUUGUGGAGGAGGGGCACCCUCUCACUCCGAGGGCUGUGCCGGCCACAAGCUUGUUCGCAGCGCCUGAAUUUCAGCCUUUCUGGAGAAGCAUGAAGCCCAGAGAAACAGCACAGAGAAGAGUUUAUAUUCCUGUUUCUUCAGUUUGAAGACUGAACCCUAAUCUCAUUUCUCUCCAUCAUGCCUCCCCACCCCCAAAUCCUCAAGCUAAAGCUGAUCAAGAUCUACGUGUGGAAUGAAAAGCUAGUCCCGUGCCUGGGAGAAUUCAUACUCAGAUCUGGAACAGCUCUGGCCCCGGGUCAGUGUGCUUGAGCAAAUGAGGGCGAGCCGUCAGCAUCUGCGUAGUUCCGAGGCCGAGCGCAAGGCAGCACAGCUCUGCCCGGCCUGGCGAGGGGCGACCCAGCCCGAUGGCGCAGCCCGUGCCGCCGAAACGCAGGACACGUGAAAUAUAUUCAGUCUGAGCAAGACGCAGGCUGCUCUGUGGAGACUCUGCUGCCAGCCCUCUCUUGAGACGGAGGUUGAGCAGGGCAACUGGGUAGAUGUGUGCCUCACCUGGACAGAAAAUGGGAGAUAAGCAGGUAACAGUUUGAUGGACUAAGGGAUGCCCAGAGAGCUGGUAAAAUGUGAUUCCUGGGAGCGUCUGUGAGGCUGUUUCUGGAAGAGAUUAGCAUUUGAGUCGGUAGACUGAGUAAAGGAGAUGGCCCUCCCCAACGCAAGUGGGCAUCACCCAAUCUGUUGAGGGCCCGGAAGGAACAGUAAGGCGGAAGAAGGUCAAAUUUGCCCUCUGCUUGAGCCGGGACGUCCAUCUUCUCCUGUCCUCGGACGGCGGUGCUCCUGGUUCUCAGGCCUUCGGACUCAGAUUAGGAUUUAUACCAUCGGCUUUCGUGGUUCAUCCAGUUUACAGAGGGCAGAUCGCGG